AAUGGGUCAGCGACUUAUAUUCUGUAGCAAGGUUAACCGAAUAGGGGAGCCGAAGGGAAACCGAGUCUUAACUGGGCGUUAAGUUGCAGGGUAUAGACCCGAAACCCGGUGAUCUAGCCAUGGGCAGGUUGAAGGUUGGGUAACACUAACUGGAGGACCGAACCGACUAAUGUUGAAAAAUUAGCGGAUGACUUGUGGCUGGGGGUGAAAGGCCAAUCAAACCGGGAGAUAGCUGGUUCUCCCCGAAAGCUAUUUAGGUAGCGCCUCGUGAAUUCAUCUCCGGGGGUAGAGCACUGUUUCGGCAAGGGGGUCAUCCCGACUUACCAACCCGAUGCAAACUGCGAAUACCGGAGAAUGUUAUCACGGGAGACACACGGCGGGUGCUAACGUCCGUCGUGAAGAGGGAAACAACCCAGACCGCCAGCUAAGGUCCCAAAGUCAUGGUUAAGUGGGAAACGAUGUGGGAAGGCCCAGACAGCCAGGAUGUUGGCUUAGAAGCAGCCAUCAUUUAAAGAAAGCGUAAUAGCUCACUGGUCGAGUCGGCCUGCGCGGAAGAUGUAACGGGGCUAAACCAUGCACCGAAGCUGCGGCAGCGACACUAUGUGUUGUUGGGUAGGGGAGCGUUCUGUAAGCCUGUGAAGGUGUACUGUGAGGUAUGCUGGAGGUAUCAGAAGUGCGAAUGCUGACAUAAGUAACGAUAAAGCGGGUGAAAAGCCCGCUCGCCGGAAGACCAAGGGUUCCUGUCCAACGUUAAUCGGGGCAGGGUGAGUCGACCCCUAAGGCGAGGCCGAAAGGCGUAGUCGAUGGGAAACAGGUUAAUAUUCCUGUACUUGGUGUUACUGCGAAGGGGGGACGGAGAAGGCUAUGUUGGCCGGGCGACGGUUGUCCCGGUUUAAGCGUGUAGGCUGGUUUUCCAGGCAAAUCCGGAAAAUCAAGGCUGAGGCGUGAUGACGAGGCACUACGGUGCUGAAGCAACAAAUGCCCUGCUUCCAGGAAAAGCCUCUAAGCAUCAGGUAACAUCAAAUCGUACCCCAAACCGACACAGGUGGUCAGGUAGAGAAUACCAAGGCGCUUGAGAGAACUCGGGUGAAGGAACUAGGCAAAAUGGUGCCGUAACUUCGGGAGAAGGCACGCUGAUAUGUAGGUGAAGUCCCUCGCGGAUGGAGUUGAAAUCAGUCGAAGAUACCAGCUGGCUGCAACUGUUUAUUAAAAACACAGCACUGUGCAAACACGAAAGUGGACGUAUACGGUGUGACGCCUGCCCGGUGCCGGAAGGUUAAUUGAUGGGGUCAGCGCAAGCGAAGCUCUUGAUCGAAGCCCCGGUAAACGGCGGCCGUAACUAUAACGGUCCUAAGGUAGCGAAAUUCCUUGUCGGGUAAGUUCCGACCUGCACGAAUGGCGUAAUGAUGGCCAGGCUGUCUCCACCCGAGACUCAGUGAAAUUGAACUCGCUGUGAAGAUGCAGUGUACCCGCGGCAAGACGGAAAGACCCCGUGAACCUUUACUAUAGCUUGACACUGAACAUUGAGCCUUGAUGUGUAGGAUAGGUGGGAGGCUUUGAAGUGUGGACGCCAGUCUGCAUGGAGCCGACCUUGAAAUACCACCCUUUAAUGUUUGAUGUUCUAACGUUGGCCCCUGAUCGGGGUUGCGGACAGUGUCUGGUGGGUAGUUUGACUGGGGCGGUCUCCUCCUAAAGAGUAACGGAGGAGCACGAAGGUUGGCUAAUCCUGGUCGGACAUCAGGAGGUUAGUGCAAUGGCAUAAGCCAGCUUGACUGCGAGCGUGACGGCGCGAGCAGGUGCGAAAGCAGGUCAUAGUGAUCCGGUGGUUCUGAAUGGAAGGGCCAUCGCUCAACGGAUAAAAGGUACUCCGGGGAUAACAGGCUGAUACCGCCCAAGAGUUCAUAUCGACGGCGGUGUUUGGCACCUCGAUGUCGGCUCAUCACAUCCUGGGGCUGAAGUAGGUCCCAAGGGUAUGGCUGUUCGCCAUUUAAAGUGGUACGCGAGCUGGGUUUAGAACGUCGUGAGACAGUUCGGUCCCUAUCUGCCGUGGGCGCUGGAGAACUGAGGGGGGCUGCUCCUAGUACGAGAGGACCGGAGUGGACGCAUCACUGGUGUUCGGGUUGUCAUGCCAAUGGCACUGCCCGGUAGCUAAAUGCGGAAGAGAUAAGUGCUGAAAGCAUCUAAGCACGAAACUUGCCCCG
rnacentral:rRNA from 1 species